rnacentral:rRNA from 1 species
AGUUUGAUCCUGGCUCAGAACGAACGCUGGCGGCGUGGAUAAGACAUGCAAGUCGAACGGGAGAAUUGCUAGCUUGCUAAUAAUUCUCUAGUGGCGCACGGGUGAGUAACACGUGAGUAACCUGCCUCUUAGUGGGGGAUAGCCCUGGGAAACCGGGAUUAAUACCGCAUACGAUUGAAAGAUCAAAGCAGCAAUGCGCUUGGGGAUGGGCUCGCGGCCUAUUAGUUAGUUGGUGAGGUAACGGCUCACCAAGGCGAUGACGGGUAGCCGGUCUGAGAGGAUGUCCGGCCACACUGGAACUGAGACACGGUCCAGACACCUACGGGUGGCAGCAGUCGAGAAUCAUUCACAAUGGGGGAAACCCUGAUGGUGCGACGCCGCGUGGGGGAAUGAAGGUCUUCGGAUUGUAAACCCCUGUCAUGUGGGAGCAAAUUAAAAAGAUAGUACCACAAGAGGAAGAGACGGCUAACUCUGUGCCAGCCGCCGCGGUAAUAC